rnacentral:tRNA from 1 species
UCACUCCAUAGUUUAAAAAAAAACAUAAACUUUGGAAGUUUAAGACUGAAAAAUUUCAUGGAUUG